UGAGUCACAAUUGAAUAAUUUUUGCAUUCAAAAUUUUAUUGUAUGUACUUUUACAUUACUUUCAUUCAGCUUUGUUUUAUCCGACACUUUAGAUCUGAAAAUUUGACUUUCUUCAUUUUUAGAAACAACUCUUGUCCAUUAAUCAUGUCCUGGACACAUUUUCAGAUAGAAUCUUCAAAAUUCAAUUAAGAAAAUCAUCUUGGAAAAGUUUUGACUAUGUGCGUACAGUCUAUCAGUUUUGUCCUACGUAGAAAAGGAACAUAUCUUUGCACCAAAAAUUAGCGAGAGAAGCCAAAAAAAGGUAAAGCCUCUAGGUACAAAUGAAGUAAAUGGAAGCAGCAGAUGUGAUCUCUAAAUCUUCAAGCGCAGAGCUGAAAGCAAAAAAAAGUGUAAAAUGAAGUAUUGAUCUUUUUUUUUGGAUCUUUUGCUACUGUAAAAGAAAACCUUUUUUGGGCUCUUACAUGAAUGGUAAAGUCUCACUCCCCCUUCCCUACAAAGGAAUUUUGUCGUAAUGGUGAUCGAACAUUAAGAACUAGGGAGGACGAUUGUGCUGGUUGUGAAAGUUUUUAGCCUCCUCAAUGUUCCACAAAUAUAGGUGUAAAGGGAAAAAUAUGAUAUGACACGUAGCUGACUAAAAGGAGGAUACAUGGAAUUCAAGAUGGGGUGGCUGAGUACCGAACGCAGUCACUCUGCUUGUCACCGGAAAUGAUAACUUUCAUAAAGGUAUAUUAAAUGCUCUGCGCCCGGUAGCAUUUACUAAGGAAUAUUCUGUAGAAGUAAGAGUGACGGUCCGUUACAGAGAAUUUGGCAUUUAUGUUCAACGUUACAUCUUCAUCAAUGACCCUCAUAAUUGACAUUAAAGGAGGGCAUGAUCGUAGGACCUUUUUCCUUAGACAUAGCUAUAAAUAGUGAGCUCAGUUACCAUUGUAAGGGACACGAAUUUUCUGACUAAACUUACACUCUAUUCUAUACAAAGCUUUAUACAAUUUUACUUAUUGCUUUUUAAUCUCA